UACGGAGGGGGCUAGCGUUGUUCGGAAUUACUGGGCGUAAAGCGCACGUAGGCGGCUUUGUAAGUUAGAGGUGAAAGCCCGGGGCUCAACUCCGGAAUUGCCUUUAAGACUGCAUCGCUCGAAUUGUGGAGAGGUAAGUGGAAUUCCGAGUGUAGAGGUGAAAUUCGUAGAUAUUCGGAAGAACACCAGUGGCGAAGGCGACUUACUGGACACAUAUUGACGCUGAGGUGCGAAAGCGUGGGGAGCAACAGG
rnacentral:rRNA from 1 species